rnacentral:rRNA from 1 species
AUCAAAACAGAACGCCUGAUCUCAUCUGGUCUCCUCUGAGCUCAGAAACUAAGCAGGGUCGGCUUAGUUAGUAUUGGAAGGGGGACCACCUGGGAAUAUCAGGUGCUA